AGGUAUACUAAAAUUAAGGUAUUUCCUCAUCAUAAACCCUUAUAAAAUGGCGGUCUUAAUUAUUUAGAGAAACUCGCUUUAUAAUCGUAAUUACUCGAUAAAUUUAACUUUUAUUUAAUAAUUUAUAUACCGCCGUCACGAAUCAACAAUUUAAACAAUUCAAACACUUACAUUAAAGACAAAUCAGGUCAAGGUGUAAUUUAUAAUAAAGUAAAAGUAAGUUACACUAAAAAUAAUUUAAGAAAAAAAGUACAAAUACAAAAUAGAAAAAGAAUUUAUUUGUACAAAUUAAUUAAAAACUAAAAUAGAAACAAAAAACAAAGAUGC
rnacentral:rRNA from 1 species